rnacentral:rRNA from 1 species
UACAGAGGGUGCGAACGUUGCUCGGAAUUACUGGGCGUAAAGCGCGUGUAAGCGGAACGAUAAAUCGGAAGUGAAAUCCCCGGACUCAACCCGAGAACUGCUUUCGAAACUGCCGUUCUCGAGUACCGGAGAGGGUGGCGGAAUUCCUGGUGUAGAGGUGAAAUUCGUAGAUAUCAGGAGGAACACCGGUGGCGAAGGCGGCCACCUGGACGGUCACUGACGCUGAGACGCGAAAGCGUGGGGAGCAAACAGG